rnacentral:lncRNA from 1 species
GAGAUAAGUUCUAACCCAGACUUGAGUGUAAUUAAGAUAGGAGGAUGGUAUAGUCAUGUUCGACUUAUGUGGAGUAGUCCUUAACAAGUUGGCUUGCGACCCAUCUACUAUGUGGAGACCCUUUUGGAGUUAUGAAUGUCACACAAGUUAUUUGUGGUUAGGCAUUACUUUCUCUGAUUUGGGGUCCGAGAAGCUAAAGACUGUAGAAUUUUAACCCCUCUUGGCCUAUUUAGGACGUAUUGCGGAGACUGUU